GCUGGGCGCGGUGGCUCACGCCUGUAAUCCCAGCACUUUGGGAGGCUGAGGUGGGUGGAUCACCUGAGGUCGGGAGUUCAAGACCAGCCUGGCCAACACGGUGAAACCCCAUCUCUA
rnacentral:SRP_RNA from 1 species